rnacentral:rRNA from 1 species
ACGGAAGGCAGCAGUGAGGAAUAUUGCACAAUGGGGGAAACCCUGAUGCAGCAACGCCGCGUGAAGGAUGAAGGCCUUUGGGUCGUAAACUUCUGUUCUAAGGGAAGAUAAUGACGGUACCUUAGGAGCAAGUCCCGGCUAACUACGUGCCAGCAGCCGCGGUAAUACGUAGGGGGCGAGCGUUAUCCGGAAUUAUUGGGCGUAAAGAGUACGUAGGUGGUUUUCUAAGCGCAGGGUUUAAGGCUAUGGCUUAACCAUAGUUCGCCUUGCGAACUGGAUAACUUGAGUGCUGGAGAGGAAAGCGGAAUUCCUAGUGUAGCGGUGAAAUGCGUAGAUAUUAGGAGGAACACCAGUGGCGAAGGCGGCUUUCUGGACAGUAACUGACACUGAGGUACGAAAGUGUGGGGAGCAAACAGGAUUAGAUACCCUGGUA